rnacentral:rRNA from 1 species
GAAGCCUACGGGACGCAGCAGUGGGGAAUAUUGGGCAAUGGGCGCAAGCCUGACCCAGCAACGCCGCGUGAAGGAAGAAGGCUUUCGGGUUGUAAACUUCUUUUCUCAGGGACGAAGCAAGUGACGGUACCUGAGGAAUAAGCCACGGCUAACUACGUGCCAGCAGCCGCGGUAAUACGUAGGUGGCAAGCGUUAUCCGGAUUUACUGGGUGUAAAGGGCGUGUAGGCGGGGACGCAAGUCAGAUGUGAAAACCACGGGCUCAACCUGUGGCCUGCAUUUGAAACUGUGGUUCUUGAGGACUGGG